GGAUAUAGCUCAGUUGGUAAAGUGCAUGCCUCACAUGAGCAGGCCCAGGGUUCGAUCCCCAGAACCA
rnacentral:tRNA from 1 species